AAAAAAAAAAAAAAAAGAAAUAAAGAAAGAAACUCAGUAGUUAAUAUCUUCAUUAAUUUGGGGAUGGGGAAAGAGAGGCUCUCAUUUAAGGAAAGGUAUAAGUAUACUCUACUGCCACCAAGCUACAGUUUUAUGAACACAAAAAUCACUUCACAAUCCUGUAAGUUACUUAACUUCCCCCCAAAAAGGAUCUCAGAAAUACAAAGUACCAGACAAAUGCGGGAUCUGUUAGUAAAUCUAAGUUAUUGAAAAGCACAAAAAAGAUGAUCCCGUUUACAUGGUAUGAAGUAUACAAAUGUAUACAUAAAGACAUAAUGCUCAAAACAACUGAAAUGGUGGGUUUCUUUGGUAGAAUUUAGGAUAAACCUUACAUUUCUGCAGAUACUGCUUCAAUCUUGGAUAAAAGGAAUCAUUUUCAAAAAAUGAUAAAUCUCUUUUUUCAGGAGGAAGAAAGUAUAAAAGGCAACUGCUACCUGCUGAAUAAAUUACAUGAAAAAAAAAAAAAAAAAAAAAAACCUCAUCAAUAUGGCCCUGAUCGUGAUCUCUUCAUUAAAAACUCAAGUUAUCAAAGGACUUUUUUCUUUCAAAAACAGUCAACAACUGAAGUAUGGCCCUGAUCGUGAUCUCUUCAAUAAAAACUCAAGUUAUCAAAGGACUUUUUUCUUUCAAAAACAGUCAACAACUGAAGUAUCCCUCUCUUGCCACAGUGUGUCACUCUUACUGUACAAAUAUUUUUGAAUUUCCAUAGGACAGGGGAAACUGUUUAAAAGCCGAUUUAAUUUUCAAAUUAUUAAUCCCCACUUGCCAAAAGGCAGCCCUGAGGACAGAGUCCUAGGCUUAUUCAUUAUUAUAAAUACCUGGCAGCACCUACAAAGUACUCAAAAUGCACUUGUAAUUUUUUAAAUACAAACUUAUCAAACUUACAGAAAUUAAAACAAAUCUUGAAUAUAGUAAUCUUAUAAAUAAAUUCACUAAUGCCACCUUAUCCAGAAGGAAGAAAUAUGAUUAUGAUGCUUUAAGUGGCCAAUUUAGGCAGGCAUUUUACAAAAAUCACCAGUUAAAGCAAACGGCCAGGUGCAAUGGCACAAGCCUGUGAUCCCAGCACUUUGGGAGGCUGAGGCGGGUGGAUCAUCUGAGGUCAUGAGUUUGAGAUCAGCCUGACCAACAUGGAGAAACUCCAUCUCUA